rnacentral:misc_RNA from 1 species
GAAAUGCGAUAAGUAAUGUGAAUUGCAGAAUUCAGUGAAUCAUCGAUUCUUUGAACGCACAUUGCGCCCGCCAGUAUUCUGGCGGGCAUGCCUGUUCGAGCGUCAUUUCAACCAUCAAGCCCCCGGCUUGUGUUGGGGACCUGCGGCUGCCCGCAGGCCCUGAAAACCAGUGGCGGGCUCGCUGUCACACCGAGCGUAGUAGCAUACAUCUCGCUCAGGGCGUGCUGCGGGUUCCGGCCGUUAAAAGCCUUUUUUACCCAAGGUUGACCUCGGAUCAGGUAGGAAGACCCGCUGAACUUAAGC